GUAGAUACCUUAUCGAGAAUCAAUUCCGAUAUAUCUGACGAAAAUGGGUGACCCGACUGGAAACGAGACGGAUUUUCAAACCACUGAUACAUCCGAAACGCCUCAAGAAAAUGGAAUGGAAACUAAUCAAGAUCUUGCAGAGGCCAAAAAGAAUGAAGGAAACACUUGGUACAAGAAAAAGGAAUACCAUCAAGCCAUCAAAUUUUACUCAGAGGCAAUUAAUUUAUACCCAUCAUGUGCAAGCUAUUAUACAAACCGUGCAGCUGCCUACAUGAUGCUGGACAAGUAUGCAGAAGCUUUACAAGAUGCUCAACAUGCAACAUCUUUAGAUGACCAACUAAUUAA